GACGAACGCUGGCGGCGUGCUUAACACAUGCCAGUCGAACGAUGAACCGGUUUCGGCCGGGGAUUAGUGGCGAACGGGUGAGUAACACGUGGGCAAUCUGCCCUGCACUCUGGGAUAAGCCCGGGGAACUGGGUCUAAUACCGGAUACGACACUCCGAGGCAUCUUGGGGUGUGGAAAGUUCCGGCGGUGCAGGAUGAGCCCGCGGCCUAUCAGCUUGUUGGUGGGGUAAUGGCCUACCAAGGCGACGACGGGUAGCCGGCCUGAGAGGGUGACCGGCCACACUGGGACUGAGACACGGCCCAGACUCCUACGGGAGGCAGCAGUGGGGAAUAUUGCACAAUGGGCGAAAGCCUGAUGCAGCGACGCCGCGUGAGGGAUGACGGCCUUCGGGUUGUAAACCUCUUUCAGCAGGGAAGAAGCGAAAGUGACGGUACCUGCAGAAGAAGCACCGGCUAACUACGUG
rnacentral:rRNA from 1 species